CAGCCACAACAUGUUCUCUGGCACCACCCUGAGAAACUGAACUGGUCCUGAAUCAGAGGGGAAGAUGGACAUUCACUGAAUCACCCAGCUUCUUCUGACAUACUCUCAGCACUUCUGGCCAAGACCUGUAGUCUCUUCCAAGAAUCUUCACCUUUUCUCAAUGUGCUGAUUUUGUCCUGGUCUCCUUUGCUCAGCCCCUACCUCCAUUCAGAGAGGCAGAGAGUACUACAAGUGCUGAAGAGGUGUGAGUACCAAAGCUGAUACGAUCUUGAAAAAUGAAUGAAAUCAUUCAGAGAGGCAAAGUGGUAUAAUAUAGAGAGACCUGACCUCUGAGUCAGAAUGACCUGGAUUCUAGUCCUGACUCGGAUGCAUCCUGGCUAUGUGCACAUGGGGAACUCACUUAACCCAGACAAUUCUCUGAUACUAGGUCAGUGACUAGAGUUCCUGAAAAUGGGCUUUGCAUGCAAAAGAUCCCAAAAGAUCAAGAAUUCCUGAGUUCCAACACUCAAGGACCAGCCUCCUAG